rnacentral:rRNA from 1 species
UACGUAGGGUGCAAGCGUUGUCCGGAAUUAUUGGGCGUAAAGGGCUCGUAGGCGGUCCAUCGCGUCGGGAGUGAAAAGCUGGGGCUCAACCCCAGUCCUGCUUUCGAUACGGGUGGACUAGAGGUAUGCAGGGGAGAACGGAAUUCCUGGUGUAGCGGUGAAAUGACGCAGAUAUCAGGAGGAACACCAGGUGGCGAAGGCGGUCCUCUGGGCGAUACCUGACGCUGAGGACGAACGAAGCGUGGGGAGCAAACAGG